rnacentral:rRNA from 1 species
UACGUAGGGGGCAAGCGUUGUCCGGAAUCAUUGGGCGUAAAGCGCAUGUAGGCGGUUUUGAAAGUCAGAUGUCAAAUCCCCGGGCUCAACCCGGGUCCGCAUUUGAUACUUCACAAGCUUGAGAGAUGUAGAGGAAAGCGGAACUUCCGGUGUAGCGGUGAAAUGCGUAGAUAUCGGAAGGAACACCAGUGGCGAAGGCGGCUUUCUGGACAUUUUCUGACGCUGAGAUGCGAAAGUUAAGGGAG